rfam:Ictidomys tridecemlineatus contig049084, whole genome shotgun sequence.
GGGGAUAUACCUCAGUUGGUAGAGGGCUCGCCUUGCAUGCGAGAAUUCCUGGGUUCAAUCCCCAGCACUUCCA